UACGAAGGGGGCUAGCGUUGUUCGGAUUUACUGGGCGUAAAGCGCACGUAGGCGGGUCGUUAAGUCAGGGGUGAAAUCCCGGAGCUCAACUCCGGAACUGCCUUUGAUACUGGCGACCUUGAGGCUGGAAGAGGUUAGUGGAAUUCCCAGUGUAGAGGUGAAAUUCGUAGAUAUUGGGAGGAACACCAGUGGCGAAGGCGGCUCACUGGACCGGAACUGACGCUGAGGCGCGAAAGCGUGGGGAGCAAACAGG
rnacentral:rRNA from 1 species